CCAUUAUUAAUGCUCUUGUUAAAGCUUGUAGAGGUAAGUCAAAAGAAUGGCCAAGACUUUUGCCACUUGCUUUAUGGACAGAUAGAACCACUCAUAGCACUGUUACUGGUUAUAUGCCUAUUGAGCUUAUGUUGCGUCAAAAGCCAAUUUUGCCAAUAGAGGAUUGAGUGCCUACUUGGACAUUUUUAAACUAAAAAGAUGGCAUUACAAGAGAAGAACUACUAG
rnacentral:lncRNA from 1 species